CACGUAGGGGCCAAGCGUUGUCCGGAUUUAUUGGGCCUAAAGCACCCGUAGCCGGUUCUACAAGUCUUCCGUUAAAUCCACCUGCUUAACAGAUGGGCUGCGGAAGAUACUAUAGAGCUAGGAGGCGGGAGAGGCAAGCGGUACUCGAUGGGUAGGGGUAAAAUCCGUUGAUCCAUUGAAGACCACCAGUGGCGAAGGCGGCUUGCCAGAACGCGCUCGACGGUGAGGGAUGAAAGCUGGGGGAGCAAACCGG
rnacentral:rRNA from 1 species